GGUAAAAUGGCUGAGUUUAGGCGGCGGAUUGUAGCUCCGAAAACAAAGGUAAAAAGCCCUUUUUUUAUCA
rnacentral:tRNA from 1 species